rnacentral:rRNA from 1 species
UACGUAGGGUGCAAGCGUUACUCGGAAUUACUGGGCGUAAAGCGUGCGCAGGCGGUUGUGUAAGACAGAUGUGAAAUCCCCGGGCUUAACCUGGGAAUGGCAUUUGGGACUGUAAGGCUAGAGUACGGCAGAGGGGACUAGAAUUCCUGGUGUAGCAGUGAAAUGCGUAGAUAUCAGGAGGAAUACCGAUGGCGAAGGCAGGUCCCUGGGUCGAUACUGACGCUCAUGCACGAAAGCGUGGGGAGCAAACAGG